rnacentral:SRP_RNA from 1 species
UCGUGCUAGACGGGGAGCUAGCGGUGCCCUGUACCCGCAAUCCGCUCUAGCGGGGUCGAAUCCCUGCCCGAGGCCGUCCGCAUGGAGGCUGGGCGGCGCAAGUGGUGAUGAAGGUUGGGCCCUGCGCGACGCGUGCUCGUGAACCCCGUCAGAUCCGGAAGGAAGCAGCGGUAAGCGAGGACACGCGGGCGCCGCAGUCAUCCUGGCUGGAGCUAACUGCGCCGAUUCCGCUCUGUACGUCCGGUCGAAGGCAGGUGCACGA